CUCCUCCUCUUCCUCCUCAAUGGCGGACAUUCGUCAGCAGCAGCCGCUAUCCCACCAGGUGGUCAAGGCGGCCACCGCGGUGACGGCUGGUGGGUCGCUUCUGGUUCUUUCGGGCCUGAUCCUAGCUGGGACUGUGAUUGCACUAGCUCUGGCCACGCCUUUGCUGGUGAUUUUCAGCCCGGUGCUGGUCCCCGCGGGGAUCACGGUGUUUCUGCUGGUCACCGGGUUCCUGUCUUCGGGAGGGUUUGGGGUGGCAGCGUUGAGCGUGCUGUCCUGGAUUUACAGGUACGUGACGGGGAAGAACCCGCCGGGAGCGGACCAGCUGGACCGGGCAAGGCAAAAGCUGGCUCUUAAGGCUAGGGAGAUGAAGGACAGGGCUGAGCAGUAUGGGCAGCAGAACAUACCUGCCGGUUCCCAGCAGCACUAGAUUUGAUAAUUUAAGCCAAUGAUCAGCUCCAAUUCCAGUGGUGUGGAUAGGUGGAAUUGUCAUGUAGCUGGCUAGUUUUAUCCUAAGUCAGGAGAUCAUAGACGGUCGAUCCUGUGGGUUGUGGUAUUCAUGCAUUAUUGUCUUUCGUUAAUUUCUUCGAAUUUGUAAUGUCUGGGAUGAGUUUCCAUCGCUUUUUAUAUAUAUAUAUAUACUAGGUAAUGACUUCCCACGCAAGGCGUGGAAACUUUAGACUUGUUAAUAAGAUUUCAUUUGUUAUUGUAAAUAUUUUUUAAUGGUUGAUACGAUGCUAUAUAUAAUUCAAAAGAAUAAAGUCAUUGGAGUAUUAUACAAGAA
rnacentral:lncRNA from 1 species